rnacentral:rRNA from 1 species
GACGUAGGGCGCGAGCGUUGUCCGGAUUUAUUGGGCGUAAAGAGCUCGUAGGCGGCCUGUUGCGUCCGCUGUGAAAGCCCGGGGCUUAACCCCGGGUCUGCAGUGGAUACGGGCAGGCUAGAGGUAGGUAGGGGAGAAUGGAAUUCCCGGUGUAGCGGUGAAAUGCGCAGAUAUCGGGAGGAACACCGGUGGCGAAGGCGGUUCUCUGGGCCUUACCUGACGCUGAGGCGCGAAAGCCAGGGGAGCAAACGGG